rnacentral:rRNA from 1 species
GACGUAGGGGGCGAGCGUUGUCCGGAUUUAUUGGGCGUAAAGCGUGCGUAGGCGGCUGCGCAAGUCGGUUGUGAAACCCCGGGGCUCAACCCCGGAACUGCAUCCGAUACUGCGUGGCUAGAGGUAGGUAGGGGAGAUCGGAAUUCCUGGUGUAGCGGUGAAAUGCGCAGAUAUCAGGAGGAACACCGGUGGCGAAGGCGGAUCUCUGGGCCUUACCUGACGCUCAGGCACGAAAGCGUGGGGAGCGAACAGG